AACGAACGCUGGCGACAGGCUUAACACAUGCAAGUCGAACGGGUGUAGCAAUACAUCAGUGGCAGACGGGUGAGUAACACGUGGGAACCUUCCUAGGGGUACGGAACAACUCAGGGAAACUUGAGCUAAUACCGUAUACGUCCGUGAGGAGAAAGAUUUAUCGCCCUUAGACGGGCCCGCGUCGGAUUAGGUAGUUGGUGGGGUAACGGCCUACCAAGCCUACGAUCCGUAGCUGAUCUUAGAGGAUGAUCAGCCACACUGGGACUGAGACACGGCCCAGACUCCUACGGGAGGCAGCAGUGGGGAAUCUUGGACAAUGGGCGCAAGCCUGAUCCAGCCAUGCCGCGUGAGUGAAGAAGGCCUUAGGGUUGUAAAGCUCUUUUACCAGGGACGAUAAUGACGGUACCUGGAGAAUAAGCCCCGGCAAACUUCGUGCCAGCCGCCGCCGUAAGAC
rnacentral:rRNA from 1 species